rnacentral:rRNA from 1 species
UCGGAUCAGGUAGGAAUACCCGCUGAACUUAAGCAUAUC